AACACCAAACUCUCCUUGCCAGAAGUGAAAGGAGAUGCAUCACUUGAAGCUUCCUGAAAUCUGGGCACAAGAAAUGCACAAGUUCUUCUCAAGAACACAGAAAGAGGAAGAAAUUGACUCCUGUGUGACUGAAUUGAAGAAUUCUUUGUGGAACAAGAUCAGCUGACCUGGAAAGGCAAGGACUCAUUUGACCUUUGCCACUGCGCCCCCACCCUCCACUUCUAAGCUAACCAUCUAACCAUGGACCUUCCUUGUGAACAGUAGAUCCUGCAUGGACAUACAACAUCUCUCCUUCAUGCAAGUCACAUCUGGAUUGUUUGUUUGAACCUUGCAUCAAAGGGGAGACAAGUACAUCUUUAAUCUGAGUGAUGGCAGCGGGGGAAGGUGCAACUCAAAGAGUUUGCAUCUUAUCAGAAAUGUUCAUGGUAGAGGAAAACCAGGCCAACUGCACAGCCUCUUGCCCUGCCCUCUUCUGCGCUGUCUCCUUGCAGAUCAAGACCUGGGCGGUGCUGUGUCACUGGCACCCCUCACCCUUCAGCCCAGAGCCUCCUGUCUCUCUCUGUCUGCCAUUUACUUUCACUAAUUUGUUUGUGCAUUCACUGUCUCAUACAUUUCUCUAGGUAUUUUACUAUCAUGAUAAAAUAGGAAUAAAAUCAACAGUAUAAAACAAAAGAUGCAUAAAAUGCACUAUCACAUUGCAGGAACUAGGAUAACAAACCACAAAAAUAUUAACACAUUUUAAAGGACAUUGGAGAUGUUUUAAAGCCCGGGAAAACAGUGCUAAGAUGGCAGUGUGGUUGCUGGGCCUGCUUCCCUUGGGAGAGCUUCCUAGCAUAAGGGGCACUUGAAGAAGGGCUUCUGUGGACUAGGUAUGGGC